UACGUUGCCUUCUACCUUUCUCUCUUUUAGGUUGAUUUUUACUUGCCUUUCUUCUACGUUGCCUUCUACCUUUCUUUCUCUUUUAGGUUGAUUUUUACUUGCCUUUCUUCUACGUUGCCUUCUACCUUUCUUUCUCUCUUUUAGGUCGAUUUUUACUUGCCUUUCUUCUACGUUGCCUU